CCGCACAAGCGGAGGAACAUGUGGUUUAAAUUCGAUGAUACGCGAGGAACCUUACCCGGGCUCGAACGGCAGAGGAACAAUCCAGAGAUGUGCGGCCCUUCGGGGCUUCUGUCGAGGUGCUGCAUGGUUGUCGUCAGCUCGUGCCGUGAGGUGUCGGCUCAAGUGCCAUAACGAGCGCAACCCUUGCCGUCAGUUACCAUCAAGUAGUGUUGGGGACUUCUGGCGGGACUGCCACCGCAAGGUGUGAGGAAGGGGGGGAUGACGUCAAAUCAGCACGGCCCUUACGUCCGGGGCGACACACGUGUUACAAUGGCGGCCACAGAGGGGCACUACCUGGCGACAGGAUGGGAAUCUCGAAAAGCCGUCUCAGUCCGGAUCGGAGUCUGCAACCCGACUCCGUGAAGCUGGAUUCGCUAGUAAUCGCGCAUCAGCCAUGGCGCGGUGAAUACGUUCCCGGGCCUUGUACACACCGCCCGUCAAGCCAUGAAAGUCUGGGGCGCCUGAAGUCCGUGACCGAGAGGAGCGGCCUAGGGCGAAACAGGUAAUUGGGGCU
rnacentral:rRNA from 1 species